ensembl:snRNA U6 U6 spliceosomal RNA
GUGCGCUCUUCAGUAACACAUAAACUAAAAUUGGAAUGAUAGAGAGAUUAGUGCGGUCUGUACACAAGGAUGACGUGCAAAUUCAUGAAGUGGUCCAUACUGUU